rnacentral:tRNA from 1 species
GAGGUUUUAGCUUAAUGAAAGUAUCUGGGUUGCAUUCAGAAGAUGUGAGGUAAAGUCUUACAAAUCUUA